UCGGAUAUGGUGUAACGGCUAACAUUGCCGCCUCUCAUAGAACGAGUUGAAACUAUCAUAAACGCGGCAGCUCGGGGUUCGAUUCCCCGUAUCCGAA